AUGCAUGCUGCCAUCAGCUACGCAACCCUGUCGCCCCUGCAGCUCCCGCUCCCCUACCUGCCACCCCCACUGCCGCCAUUACUGCCGCUGCUGUCGCCGCCUCCUCCGGCGGCCGUCGAUGCAGGCUUUCAGAGCAGGAUCAGCCCCAAGAUCCUUCUCAUCGUCUUGAUCUUGGCCGUGAUCUUCUUUGUCUCCGGCCUCCUCCACUUGCUCGUCUGGUUGUUGUUCCGCCCGACGCCGCGUGACCCUGGCGACGCCGGGAGCAGCGCCGCGAACGCGACCGCCUUCCACGGGCAGCUUCAGCAGCUGUUCCAUCUCCAUGACGCCGGCGUCGACCAGUCUUUCAUCGACGCGCUGCCGGUAUUCCUCUACGGCGCGGUCGUGGGCGCUGGAGGGAAGGACCCCUUCGACUGUGCGGUCUGCCUGUGUGAGUUCGCCGACGACGACCGCCUCCGCCUCCUCCCCAAGUGCAGCCACGCCUUCCACGUCGAAUGCAUCGACACGUGGCUUCUAUCGCACUCUACGUGCCCGCUCUGCCGCUGCAGCCUCCUGGCCGACUUCUCGCCGUGCGGCGGGGGCUGCAGCUCGCUGGUGUUUGUGCUCGAGUCUGGCUCGGAGGGCUCCGUCUCCGGCCGCGUCGACCGGCCGCCCGCUGCUCACCUCAGCCUGGUCAUGGAGCAAGAAGAAGGAUGUGAAAGUCAGACGCACUCAGAUGUCAAGGAGAAGGACGAGGUAGUCGUCCCCGUGAAGCUCGGCAAGUUCAGGAGCCAGGCCACGGAAGGAGGCGCGGGAUGCAGCUCCAACCCCGACCAAGAUGUGAGGCGGUGCUACUCCAUGGACCAGAGCUCCCUGCUCCGUGUAUCCGUGAAGCCGCCGGCGGCCAGGCUCUCGAAGCCCACGAUGGACAAGAAAGAGAGCUUUUCCAUCUCCAAGAUAUGGAUGCGGGGUGGGCUGCGGAGGAAGGACAGCAGCGCCGCCCCGUCAGGCUCGUCGUCGCGCCGCGCGUCGUCGUUCCGGCUGCCCUCGGCGCUCCAGCGUGCGGCGAGCGACAUCGGCGCGCCGAAGCGGCGGGCGGACGUCGUGAGCCCCGUCACCGAGUCCGAGUACAACGUGUCGGCGUGGGACAAGAGCGGGAGCGGCAGCGUCGUGGACUGGGACGUGGAGUCCUGCACGGCCGCCGGCGGGCUCAGGUCGAGGGCGGACGAGGCGCCUUCGUUCGCGAGGCGGACGCUCCUGUGGAUCAGAGGCCACCAGUGA
rnacentral:rRNA from 1 species